ACUACAACCCCCUUGAUGCCUCAUUGGGGGACCUACAUUUUGGUCACUAGUGAGUUUUAUGAAUAAUUCUGUGGCAGCUGAGGAAUGAGAUGGGUUAGAAGAAAAAAAAAUGUUGCAUUGAUUAUGGCAUGAGACUGUUUAAAAGAAUCAUGUUGAAAAAGGUCUUGCAUGAGAUGGGUUAAAAUAAGCAUCUGGGCUGUAGUAUGAGAUGGGUUAAAAUAAGCAUGUGGGCUGUAGUAUGAGAUGGGUUAAAACAAGCAUGUGGG